rnacentral:lncRNA from 1 species
UCACUCACCCUGAGGAAAUUGUUUCACCAAAUGUCGUGACAUCUACAUCUUAUUCGACGACAACCAUAUGGACGAAGCAUUCGCAAAAAUACGCUACAGGCGAUGCGCAUGCCACUACGAUGCCUCAUACAACCAGCAACAACAAUUCGGCAAGAAAACGUCUUGAGGUUGAUGACAACACUACAUUUAGUCAUAUACCAGAACACACUACAGCUAUACCUGCAGUGAAAAGCGAUUUGAAAGCUGUACAAACGGAAGCCUACACCAUAGCCAGCUCUGUAAUCGGUGUUGUCAUUGCCAUCGCUGUAGUCAUCGUUGUCGUCGUCGUGUGUGUCAGAAGAAAAAGGGUAGAUGUAG